rnacentral:lncRNA from 1 species
ACUUUCUCCUAUCUCCAUAUUCAUUUUUGAUAUCUACCCCAAUUCUGCAGAAAACUAAUUACAAGAAAGAAAUCAUCAAAACUUCAUAACCCCCUCAUUCUCUUAUUCCAUCAUUGCCUCAAUUCACCCCCCAUUCUAACUCCGGUCAAUGUUUGCUCAUCAAACUAUAACGAAAACUCAGCCGCCAUUCACUGAGGUUAGGGAGAGAGAAGACGAGAAUCAGGCGAAGAUGUGAAUAUCAGAAGAGAGGGAGUUGUCAGGUCAUGGGUUUAUUGUUGUCUUGGCGGGCUGGUGGCUGCGACACCAAUUUUCAGCGGCAACUAAUAGCCGGAAAUUUAGAAGUGAAAGGGAAGAAAUUUAAGGAUGUGUUCCAUUUAUUAUUUCUCUUUCCACCUGUAUCAGCAACCUAAUGGCAAAAAAAAAUCCCAAACUUCGAACCCUUUUCCUCACCCAAUUCUCCUCUUUUGCCAAUUCUACCACCACAUCGGCGACCCGUUCUCUGACGGAGACUCAGCUGCCAUUUGCUCAUCAAACUCUAAUGGAGACGCAACUUCCGCCUCGAACAAACGUCGGCCGAAACUCAGGCUGGCCUGCAGCCUCACGCCGCCUCCAAGCGCAAGAGCAAAUCUAGCAAGUUUUCUUCUCUCUAUUCCUAUUUCUUUUUCUAUUUCUUAUUCAGCAUACUUGAAUUUGUAUUUUUUUUAUUAAUUAAUGAUUAUCAGUCUGGAGCAAAUUUAUUUCUCAGAAAAUGGAGAUGGUUCAUGGGCAGGGCAGCUGCUAAUAUGGAGAUCACAAGAAGACCAAUUCGCUUAUGGUGAAGCAGUUCGGGAAUGAUAAUUGGUAUCCUCUGAAGACUGAUAAUUCUUAAUUUACCGUAAGGAAGGACUAUGUGUAUAGUACUCGGUCAUAAUUCUUCUUAAGUUGUUUCAUUUUCUAAUAUUCUAUUUUAGACAAUCUGGAACUACCAUAAUCUAAUUCUCUUUCGAGUAGUUUACUAAUCUGGAAAAAUGUAUCAAG